UACGUAGGGUGCGAGCGUUGCCCGGAUUUAUUGGGCGUAAAGGGCGCGUAGGCGGCCACGCACGUCCGUUGUGAAAUCGCCCGGCUCAACUGGGCGGGGUCGGCGGAUACGGCGUGGCUGGAGCAAGCUAGGGGGCAAUGGAAUUCCCGGUGUAGUGGUGGAAUGCGUAGAUAUCGGGAGGAACACCAGUGGCGAAGGCGGUUGCCUGGAGCUUUGCUGACGCUAAGGCGCGAAAGCGUGGGGAGCGAUCCGG
rnacentral:rRNA from 1 species